rnacentral:rRNA from 1 species
AUUGAACGCUGGCGGCAGGCCUAACACAUGCAAGUCGAACGGUAACAGGAAACAGCUUGCUGUUUCGCUGACGAGUGGCGGACGGGUGAGUAAUGUCUGGGAAACUGCCUGAUGGAGGGGGAUAACUACUGGAAACGGUAGCUAAUACCGCAUAACGUCGCAAGACCAAAGAGGGGGACCCUCGGGCCUCUUGCCAUCGGAUGUGCCCAGAUGGGAUUAGCUUGUUGGUGGGGUAACGGCUCACCAAGGCGACGAUCCCUAGCUGGUCUGAGAGGAUGACCAGCCACACUGGAACUGAGACACGGUCCAGACUCCUACGGGAGGCAGCAGUGGGGAAUAUUGCACAAUGGGCGCAAGCCUGAUGCAGCCAUGCCGCGUGUAUGAAGAAGGCCUUCGGGUUGUAAAGUACUUUCAGCGGGGAGGAAGGGAGUAAAGUUAAUACCUUUGCUCAUUGACGUUACCCGCAGAAGAAGCACCGGCUAACUCCGUGCCAGCAGCCGCGGUAAUACGGAGGGUGCAAGCGUUAAUCGGAAUUACUGGGCGUAAAGCGCACGCAGGCGGUUUGUUAAGUCAGAUGUGAAAUCCCCGGGCUCAACCUGGGAACUGCAUCUGAUACUGGCAAGCUUGAGUCUCGUAGAGGGGGGUAGAAUUCCAGGUGUAGCGGUGAAAUGCGUAGAGAUCUGGAGGAAUACCGGUGGCGAAGGCGGCCCCCUGGACGAAGACUGACGCUCAGGUGCGAAAGCGUGGGGAGCAAACAGGAUUAGAUACCCUGGUAGUCCACGCCGUAAACGAUGUCGACUUGGAGGUUGUGCCCUUGAGGCGUGGCUUCCGGAGCUAACGCGUUAAGUCGACCGCCUGGGGAGUACGGCCGCAAGGUUAAAACUCAAAUGAAUUGACGGGGGCCCGCACAAGCGGUGGAGCAUGUGGUUUAAUUCGAUGCAACGCGAAGAACCUUACCUGGUCUUGACAUCCACGGAAGUUUUCAGAGAUGAGAAUGUGCCUUCGGGAACCGUGAGACAGGUGCUGCAUGGCUGUCGUCAGCUCGUGUUGUGAAAUGUUGGGUUAAGUCCCGCAACGAGCGCAACCCUUAUCCUUUGUUGCCAGCGGUCCGGCCGGGAACUCAAAGGAGACUGCCAGUGAUAAACUGGAGGAAGGUGGGGAUGACGUCAAGUCAUCAUGGCCCUUACGACCAGGGCUACACACGUGCUACAAUGGCGCAUACAAAGAGAAGCGACCUCGCGAGAGCAAGCGGACCUCAUAAAGCGCGUCGUAGUCCGGAUUGGAGUCUGCAACUCGACUCCAUGAAGUCGGAAUCGCUAGUAAUCGUGGAUCAGAAUGCCACGGUGAAUACGUUCCCGGGCCU